AUUGAACGCUGGCGGCAUGCUUUACACAUGCAAGUCGAACGGUAACAGGGAGCUUGCUCCGCUGACGAGUGGCGAACGGGUGAGUAAUGCAUCGGAACAUGCCCAGUCAUGGGGGAUAACUACGCGAAAGCGUAGCUAAUACCGCAUACGCCCUGAGGGGGAAAGUGGGGGGUCUUAGGACCUCACGUGAUUGGAGUGGCCGAUGUCAGAUUAGCUAGUUGGUGAGGUAAAGGCUCACCAAGGCGACGAUCUGUAGCGGGUCUGAGAGGAUGAUCCGCCACACUGGGACUGAGACACGGCCCAGACUCCUACGGGAGGCAGCAGUGGGGAAUUUUGGACAAUGGGCGCAAGCCUGAUCCAGCCAUGCCGCGUGAGUGAAGAAGGCCUUCUGGUUGUAAAGCUCUUUCGCAAGGGAAGAAAACGGCAAGGUUAAUACCUUUGUCGGCUGACGGUACCUUGACAAGAAGCACCGGCUAACUACGUGCCAG
rnacentral:rRNA from 1 species